AUGAACGCUAGCUACAGGCUUAACACAUGCAAGUCGAGGGGCAGCAUGGUCUUAGCUUGCUAAGGCCGAUGGCGACCGGCGCACGGGUGAGUAACACGUAUCCAACCUGCCGUCUACUCUUGGACAGCCUUCUGAAAGGAAGAUUAAUACAAGAUGGCAUCAUGAGUCCACAUGUUCACAUGAUUAAAGGUAUUCCGGUAGACGAUGGGGAUGCGUUCCAUUAGAUAGUAGGCGGGGUAACGGCCCACCUAGUCUUCGAUGGAUAGGGGUUCUGAGAGGAAGGUCCCCCACAUUGGAACUGAGACACGGUCCAAACUCCUACGGGAGGCAGCAGUGAGGAAUAUUGGUCAAUGGGCGAGAGCCUGAACCAGCCAAGUAGCGUGAAGGAUGACUGCCCUAUGGGUUGUAAACUUCUUUUAUAAAGGAAUAAAGUCGGGUAUGCAUACCCGUUUGCAUGUACUUUAUGAAUAAGGAUCGGCUAACUCCGUGCCAGCAGCCGCGGUAAUACGGAGGAUCCGAGCGUUAUCCGGAUUUAUUGGGUUUAAAGGGAGCGUAGAUGGAUGUUUAAGUCAGUUGUGAAAGUUUGCGGCUCAACCGUAAAAUUGCAGUUGAUACUGGAUAUCUUGAGUGCAGUUGAGGCAGGCGGAAUUCGUGGUGUAGCGGUGAAAUGCUUAGAUAUCACGAAGAACUCCGAUUGCGAAGGCAGCCUGCUAAGCUGCAACUGACAUUGAGGCUCGAAAGUGUGGGUAUCAAACAGGAUUAGAUACCCUGGUAGUCCACACGGUAAACGAUGAAUACUCGCUGUUUGCGAUAUACAGCAAGCGGCCAAGCGAAAGCGUUAAGUAUUCCACCUGGGGAGUACGCCGGCAACGGUGAAACUCAAAGGAAUUGACGGGGGCCCGCACAAGCGGAGGAACAUGUGGUUUAAUUCGAUGAUACGCGAGGAACCUUACCCGGGCUUAAAUUGCAGAUGAAUUACGGUGAAAGCCGUAAGCCGCAAGGCAUCUGUGAAGGUGCUGCAUGGUUGUCGUCAGCUCGUGCCGUGAGGUGUCGGCUUAAGUGCCAUAACGAGCGCAACCCUUGUUGUCAGUUACUAACAGGUUCCGCUGAGGACUCUGACAAGACUGCCAUCGUAAGAUGUGAGGAAGGUGGGGAUGACGUCAAAUCAGCACGGCCCUUACGUCCGGGGCUACACACGUGUUACAAUGGGGGGUACAGAGGGCCGCUACCACGCGAGUGGAUGCCAAUCCCAAAAACCUCUCUCAGUUCGGACUGGAGUCUGCAACCCGACUCCACGAAGCUGGAUUCGCUAGUAAUCGCGCAUCAGCCACGGCGCGGUGAAUACGUUCCCGGGCCUUGUACACACCGCCCGUCAAGCCAUGGGAGCCGGGGGUACCUGAAGUGCGUAACCGCGAGGAGCGCCCUAGGGUAAAACUGGUGACUGGGGCU
rnacentral:rRNA from 1 species